rnacentral:lncRNA from 1 species
AUGCUCAAGCAGUCCUCCUACCUUAUACUCCUGAAUAGCUGGGACUACAGGUAUUCAUACCACCAUACCUGGCUAAUGUAUUUUAUUUUAUUUUUUAUAGAGAUGGGAUGCCACUAUGUUGCCCAGUCUGGUCUUGAACUUCUGGGCUCAGUGAUCCUCCUUUCAUGCUUCCAAAGUGCCAGGAUUACAGGUGAUCCCAGAUUAUCAUCAUUGAAGCAGCACUGUCAUCUUGACUAUAUCAUACUGUCAUACUGUCUUUACUCCUUAACAAUGGAGCUACACCUGCUACUUUCCCAAAGUGGGGUAUGUGUGUCUGUGUGUGUGUAUUGGUGUUUGGGAAGAAGGUAAGAGUAGAAAACACAGAAAGAAAAACCUAAUGUCUCAAAAUAUUUGGAUUGUGUGAACUGUGUACUUGACUAGGUUUAUCUUUUUCAAGUUGGUUACUAGAAAGCCUAAAAUUACAUUAUGUUUCACCUUCAAAUAAUAAUGAUGAAAUAAUAAUAAUAGUAUUAAUAAUGAUGAAUAGCAUUUACUAAGUUCUUAUUUUGUUCAAGUUAUAUUCAAAGCAUUCUGUGUAUAAUUCAAUUUAGGCAAUUGAGGCAAUGAAAUUUCCCUGAAACUGUUCAUCGGCCUGCAGCACAGGUUGACUUUCCCUCUGCCCUCUCCUACUUUCUCAUUUGUCUUUAUAAUAGCACCAUGAGGCAAAUACUACCAUUAUCCCCAUUUUUAUAAAAUGGCAUGUGCAGAACUUAAGCUAUAUAAAUCCUGUAUCCAUUUAGUCACUCAAAUAUUAAAACCUGGCAUGUCAAAUCCAAUUAUAGAAAAGAGAUAAAAAUACAAAUAAAGGUAAAAAAGGAGACCUAAUUACAAUGUAGAGAUGAAAAACUAUAAUAUUAUGAACAAUUAUAUUAUCUUCAUUGGACAACUAAGAUGAAAUUAAUAUAUAAAUUACCAAAAUUGGUCAUGUAUGUAAACAUAGACUCUAAAAGUAUAAAACACCUAAGUGUAAAGGUAAUAAUAUAAAACAAGAAAAUAAAGAAACAUUUUUGUGACUUUGAGGUAGUAAACAAUUACAAAAUUCCCACAGAAAGACAUUGAUGAAUUAGUGUAUACUAAAAUGAAAUAUUUCUAAAUAUCAUAAGCCAAUUGAAGAAUAGAUGACAAGUUGAGAAAAAAAUAUUUACAUCUUAAUUUGACAAGAGAUUAAUUUCUAAAAAAAAAAAAGUAAAAGAAGACAUGAAAGUCAAUAGAAAAGCAGCUAAUAGAGAUGAACGGGCACCUCACAGAGGGGAACUCCCAAAGGCUAACAGCUACAUAGAUAUUAAAUUCACUAGCGAUAAAAGUAAUAAAAAUUGCCCUUUACCCAAUAGAAGAACUAUACUGAGAAAGGUAGGUUAUUACCUAACCUCGCAUAAAAGUUGAUACGGUGAGGAGUUGGAACUCUACUAGAUGUAUCUGUAAAUGUAAAUAUUUAAGACCAUCUGAAAGAAAUAUAAUAGUAUUUACCAAAAUUAAAGCAUAUACCCAGAAACUGAACUCCUGAGUAGUAUAGAAUUGAAGGUAACUUUCAUAACUACAAAUGUUGUAAACACAGUGAUUUGUCUAAUAGAUUUUCUUUCAAUGAAAUAUUUAUUGUACUAUGAACUGGGGAUGCUGUCACUAGACAGCCUUUAGUCUGAGCCCCUUCAGGGCACUCCAAGAGAAGUUUUGGCUGAAAAGAAGCUACCUAGCCCAAGCCCUUCUAUGACCAUCACACAUCCAAUGGCUGACAGAUAUGUGAAACGCUUGAGAUUUCUGUCUAGUUCAGAAAAUCUCUGAAGGCCAUUCUAGCUCUAGCAUUUCCCAUGAAGUUGCCAAAACUGUGACUGAGUCUGCAUCACAGCUUGACUUUCCCUCUACUGCCUCCCACUUCCUUCCUCUCAUUCUGUAAUAAACCAUUAGCAUGCUAAACUCCAUGUUAACACAUACUUCCAGGGAAACCCAAGCUGGCUAAGAAAGCUAAUGCUAAAGAGGAAGCUCUGAAGCUGGAUCACUCACUACCCAGCUGACAAUGAAUAUUUCAUCAUUGAUGGUAGGUUGAGCUGUUAAUCUUAGCACCAGGCAGAAAAUUGGAAUAUUAUACUGGUGGAACUAGAUGCAUUAGAUAGGAUGAUAUAGUAGGUAUUUGAGAAAUCAUGAGUAAUUAGAAACUAUUAAGUGCAAAUAAAUGAAAUUGCUAAGCUGUACUCUUGUUAUAUAUAAAAAAAGGAUAACAAAAGGUUGACCUACUUGGGUAACUUUUACUUCCAAUCCUUUCACUCAUGGGUACUGCUAGUUUAGAAAACCUGAUUUCUAAAAUAGGGGAUCCUUCUGUCAGGGGCUUAAGAGACCCACUGCAUUAUAAGUUGUGAUUGCUGUUUAAGAAGCAUAGGCUCUUUAUACUAAG